rnacentral:rRNA from 1 species
UACGUAGGGUGCGAGCGUUGUCCGGAAUUAUUGGGCGUAAAGAGCUCGUAGGCGGCUUGUCACGUCGGUUGUGAAAGCCCGGGGCUUAACCCCGGGUCUGCAGUCGAUACGGGCUAGCUAGAGUGUGGUAGGGGAGAUCGGAAUUCCUGGUGUAGCGGUGAAAUGCGCAGAUAUCAGGAGGAACACCGGUGGCGAAGGCGGAUCUCUGGGCCAUUACUGACGCUGAGGAGCGAAAGCGUGGGGAGCGAACAGG